rnacentral:rRNA from 1 species
AGAGUUUGAUCAUGGCUCAGGAUGAACGCUGGCGGCGUGCUUAACACAUGCAAGUCGAACGGUGAAGCCAAGCUUGCUUGGUGGAUCAGUGGCGAACGGGUGAGUAACACGUGAGCAACCUGCCCUGGACUCUGGGAUAAGCGCUGGAAACGGCGUCUAAUACUGGAUAUGAGCUCUUACCGCAUGGUGGGGGUUGGAAAGAUUUUUCGGUCUGGGAUGGGCUCGCGGCCUAUCAGCUUGUUGGUGAGGUAAUGGCUCACCAAGGCGUCGACGGGUAGCCGGCCUGAGAGGGUGACCGGCCACACUGGGACUGAGACACGGCCCAGACUCCUACGGGAGGCAGCAGUGGGGAAUAUUGCACAAUGGGCGGAAGCCUGAUGCAGCAACGCCGCGUGAGGGAUGACGGCCUUCGGGUUGUAAACCUCUUUUAGCAGGGAAGAAGCGUGAGUGACGGUACCUGCAGAAAAAGCGCCGGCUAACUACGUGCCAGCCGCCGCGGUAAUAC